AGUGACUCCAUUAAGGACCAGUGAGAGGAAGGACUGCCUGGAACAGUGGGUCCUGAAAGGCUUUUGACACCCUGGAAGGGGAGGACUACUGUGACCUGGCCAGAGGGCCAAGCCACGAGGCAACAGCACUUGAGUCCCAAGAAACCAAGACACAGAGAGAGAUGGAGUACAACCACAGGAAGGGGGUGUUGGCCUGGCAGAGCUAAUCCCCAGACAUGCCCAGAAGGAGGCAAUCCAGUGCUCUGUGCGAGAUUAAUGGAGAUGAGGAGGAGAAAUUAUGGGGAAGCAUUGCUCUCCCAGGCCAGGGCAAGUAGAGGGAGCCUGCUCUCUGCUUUUGGAAGAGGAGGGACCAUGUCAACAGGCUUACCAAGAUAAGGAUAACACCACAUGAAAGUGGAUGAACUAUGACCUUGAGCUACACGGCACUUCUAAAAACUACUUAAAGCCAUCUUCAUUUUGGAGCUUUGGAGAAAAUUGUUCCUUGGACGAUCCAACUUUCAGUUCUGUGUUUAGAUGUUGAGUACAUGACAUAUCUGGGUCACUAGAAGAAUGAUGACAGCUAAAAACGAUGCAGCUCUAAU